rnacentral:rRNA from 1 species
UACAGAGGUGGCAAGCGUUGUUCGGAAUUACUGGGCGUAAAGGGCGCGUAGGCGGCCUUGUAAGUCUCGUGUGAAAGCCCUCGGCUUAACUGAGGAUCUGCACGGGAUACUGCGAGGCUUGAGUUCGGGAGAGGAAAGCGGAAUUCCGGGUGUAGCGGUGAAAUGCGUAGAUAUCGGCAGGAACACCCAGGGGGAAACCAGUCGACUGGGCAUCUACUGACGCUGAGGUGCGAGAGCGUGGGGAGCGAACCGG